rnacentral:rRNA from 1 species
GUGUGUAACAACUCACCUGCCGAAGCAACUAGCCCUUAAAAUGGAUGGCGCUCAAGUCAUAUGCCUAUACAUCAUCGCUAGAAUAAAAAGUGUUGGCCAUUCGGUCAUCAUUGUGAAAUUCUAGUGAGUAGGAGGGUACAAUGGUGUGCGCAGAAGUGUUUGGCGUGAGCCUGCAUGAAGCCGCCAUUGGCACAGAUCUUGGUGGUAGUAGCAAAU